rnacentral:rRNA from 1 species
UUAGAGUUUGAUCAUGGCUCAGAGCGAACGCUGGCGGCAGGCCUAAUAUAUGCAAGUCGAGCGCCGUAGCAAUACGGAGCGGCAGACGGGAGAGUAACACGUGGGAACGUGCCCUUCAGUUCGGAACAACCCAGGGAAACUUGGGCUAAUACCGGAUACGUCCGUAAGGAGAAAGAUUUAUCGCUGAAGGAUCGGCCCGCGUCUGAUUAGCUUGUUGGUGGGGUAAUGAGCUACCAAGGCGACGAUCAGUAGCUGGUCUGAGAGGAUGAUCAGCCUCACUGGGACUGAGACACGGCCCGGACUCCUACGGGAGGCAGCAGUGGGGAAUAUUGGACAAUGGGCGCAAGCCUGAUCCAGCCAUGCCGCGUGGGUGAUGAAGGCCCUAGGGUUGUAAAGCCCUUUCGGCGGGGAAGAUAAUGACGGUACCCGCAGAAGAAGCCCCGGCUAACUUCGUGCCAGCAGCCGCGGUAAUACGAAGGGGGCUAGCGUUGCUCGGAAUCACUGGGCGUAAAGCGCACGUAGGCGGCUUUUUAAGUCAGGGGUGAAAUCCUGGAGCUCAACUCCAGAACUGCCUUUGAUACUGAGAAGCUUGAGUCCGGGAGAGGUGAGUGGAACUGCGAGUGUAGAGGUGAAAUUCGUAGAUAUUCGCAAGAACACCAGUGGCGAAGGCGGCUCACUGGCCCGGUACUGACGCUGAGGUGCGAAAGCGUGGGGAGCAAACAGGAUUAGAUACCCUGAUAGUCCACGCCGUAAACGAUGGAUGCUAGCCGUUGUCGGGUUUACUCGUCAGUGGCGCAGCUUAC